rnacentral:rRNA from 1 species
CCUACGGGACGCAGCAGUGGGGAAUAUUGCACAAUGGGGGAAACCCUGAUGCAGCCAUGCCGCGUGUGUGAAGAAGGCCUUCGGGUUGUAAAGCUCUUUCACCGGUGAAGAUAAUGACGGUAACCGGAGAAGAAGCCCCGGCUAACUUCGUGCCAGCAGCCGCGGUAAUACGAAGGGGGCUAGCGUUGUUCGGAAUUACUGGGCGUAAAGCGCGCGUAGGCGGAUAGAUAAGUCAGAGGUGAAAUCCCGGGGCUCAACCCCGGAAUUGCCUUUGAUACUGUUUAUCUUGAGUGCAGAAGAGGUAAGUGGAAUUCCGAGUGUAGAGGUGAAAUUCGUAGAUAUUCGGAGGAACACCAGUGGCGAAGGCGGCCCCCUGGACAAAGACUGACGCUCAGGUGCGAAAGCGUGGGGAGCAAACAGGAUUAGAUACCCGGGUA